CAGUGAAUCUGUACAAAUGCUUCACCAUUUCUAAAGACCAAUUUCUAAUUUAAGACGUCAAGUAUGUUAUCUCUUGUUAGAUGCUAGCAUCUACAGAGGGAUAGCAAAAUGUACACAGACCGUCAGCCCCUACCUCCUUGUGAUUCUUUUUGAGAUCAUCGAUUACUGGGAAAUAUCUACUAUAGUCGUGAUCAAGACCUCGGCAAGAACCAGGCCCGUAUUUCUCAUACCAGCCCUUGAUCUUCUGCUCUAGGUCUGAGUUGGCCUCCUCCAGAGCUCGUACAUUCUCCAGACAAUUCUCAAGUGGCUUCUGGAUGAAAUUCUGCCUACAUGAAGUAAAACAAGGCUUGCCGGCCUCAGC